ACUAUCGAAUCAUUAAUGCUGGCACUGGAAGUCUCUCUAAAAGAGUUACUCCAGUGCUGUUUAUAAAAUACACAGUAGAAAAAUCAACAGGGGUUUUCUUCCCCUAUAUGAAAAACUUUGGUUUAAAAGACAGGGCAGGGUUCAUCAGUAGAGAUCCAACAGCAAGCUGCGCAGAUAUCUUGAGCAACAACCUAAAUUCCAUAGCAGGUGAUGUCACCUAUAAAUGCCCUAUAAAUGGAGGAAGUCUUUGGGUGCAUCUGAAUGAUUUAUCUGCACAGAUACCCAGUGCUACAAGCAUGGCUGUCUCAGCACUACGGCUGACGAUUGUCCUGGGACUACUGGUCUUAAUCCUGACUUGCCAGGCAGAUGACAAACCAGAGGACAAGCCAGAUGACUCAGACAAAAAAACAGAGCCAGAUUUUCCAAAAUUCCUAAACCUCUUGGGCACAGAGAUCAUUGAGAAUGCAGUGGAGUUCAUCCUCCGCUCCAUGACGAGGAGCACGUAAGCACUGUGACAAACCUUGCUUUUGUCCAGUUUGCUGUUGAGGAUUUAUGGAAUUUGAUGAUAAACAAGGAGAACAUUCAGCAAAAUGACUUCCCCAGGACACACCCAACAUGGCUCCAGAAUAACCCAAGGGGAGCAAAUCCUGCUUUUCCAGUUCUGCUUCACGAGUCCGAGGCCCCAAAGCAGCUCCAAGCAAGUUCUCAGGAUUCAGGACCUGGCUCAACCAAAUACAGCUUAUUCUGAACAUCCUGAUUUUGCCUUCUUGCCUCUAGAAGUCAGAGGACAUGUGUCCUCUUAGGGGUCACAUACCCUAUUUAAAUGAGAUUUUUGUUGUUGGUGGUAGUAACUUUCCUGAGCAUCCUUAAAGUUUAAUGAUGCAAAAAAUAUAAAAUAUAUAAAAGUGAUUAUUGGCCAGAAUAAUCAAAGAAUGGUUCAAAAUAAGAAAGUCAAAGCCCAGAUAAAGUAACAAGUCCAAAGUCACACAAUCAGUAAAUGACAAAAAAGGAAUUUGAAACGGACACUAAAGAACAAACUCUAACUCCUAAAAACAUAUGAAGUUUCAGAGUUAAAAGCUUCAUCUAUCCUUUUGCAAAGUCUUUCAAAUACAUCUGAGCCUAUUCUCCUGGGCUAGGUAAACUAAAAGCCAACAUUUUUUUUUUUAAUUAACUAGAUUAUUACUGUUCCAGAUAGUCUUUAUAAUUCUCAAAGAAUAGCAUAGAGUGUCAGGGAUGGAAGAGUCCUCGAAUAGUCUAGUGCAGCUCUUAUAUUUGCUCACCACCUCAUCACACAGAGGCAGGUCCCCAGUAGCCAUUGCUGUCAUUCUUGCCCACUAGGUCAUAGAGAAUCGAAUGCCUGUAAACCUUGACCCAGUGGAGCCAGAAAGAUUCUCCCAGAAUUAUUGAUGUGGACAGUUAAGACCAGACUGAAAUCAUGGAGCUGAUGAUGAUUACAGAUCUAGAAUAUAGGAUCUCUGUACUACUGCUAAUGAGUUCUCACAAGCUGUCCUGAGACUGGUCCUUCCAAAGCACUCCGGCUCUGAAAGUGACUCCAAUGUUUCAAUAAAUCUUUUGUUUGUCUUGUUUCCUA